rnacentral:lncRNA from 1 species
AUGGGAGGAGGGAUUAGACCUACGUCUGCUGUUGCUGUGCGGGCUGGUGGACAUGAGGUCAGUAGAGCCAGCAGUGAGAACAAGCCAAUGGUUGGGAAGUGGGGGCAGGUGAGGGCAGACAGGAGCCUGGGAAAAGGAGCUGGAAUCUGCUUCCCUUUCUCUCCGGAACCCACUUCAGCCUCUCAGCACCUUCAAGUGUCCAGUUCCAGCAGAGAACUGGCAUAUGUCACCAGGAAGCCCUCACGCACCUGCCCUGGACUCAGGGAGGCUCAAGGAAGAGGUUCUGUGGAGGCUGGAGGAGCUGUGGGUGGGGCAGAUGCCUCACACCCGAAGAUGAGCUAACAGACUGUCCCCCAACCCCCCAGCAAGCCUGAUCUUAUUACACUGGCAAACUUUAUGUUGUUCUCACUUUCUGCCUCAUUCAUGUAUUUAAGAAAUUGUUCUUGAAGGAAAAGCGAUAGUAGAGAUUGAAUAAAUAAAUGGAAAAGGUACUUGAGACUUACCCA